rnacentral:lncRNA from 1 species
GGGUAGAGAACCGGGUGGUAGCUGGUUAGUAUCAGUGACUAAGGUGCAGGGUAGAAUACCGGGUGGUAGCUGGUUAGUGACAGUCUCUUAGGUGCAGGGUAGAGAACCUGGUGGUAGCUGGUUAGUAAGAGUGACUAAGGAGCAGGGUAGAGUACCGGGUGGUAGCUGGUUAGUAACAGUCUCUACGGUGCAGGGUAGAGUACCGGAUGGUAGCUGGUUAUUAACAGUGUCUAAGGUGCAGGGUAGAGUACCAGGUGGUAGCUGGUUAGUAACAGUCUCUACGGUGCAGGGUAGAGUACCGGGUGGUAGCUGGUUAGUAACAGUCUCUACGGUGCAGGGUAGAGUACCGGGUGGUAGCUGGUU